CCUAGCAAACCGUCCACGGACUCUUGGUCGGCUGUCUGCUAGAGUUUUCCUACAAGCAUACUGCAAGCAUUGUGAUCAGUUUUGGUGCGGCCUACUUUGAAGGUGGUAUCAUCCAUGACCGGGAUGUCGGAUGCUGGCAGAAGCAUCGGUUUGCCACUGCCUCCGGCCAUCAGACGUUGGCUGCCUCCUCGAAUUACCUUUAUAAGGCAAAUGAAACUGUAUACUAACUUUAUAUAAAGAAGCCAAGGUAUGUUAUCCAUAUUUACUGUCUUUAGGGGAAAAAAAUAAAAAAAAGUCAUGACUACAGCACCAGGUUCAGACCAAUUGUCAUCAGAUACUGGAUAAGCCGGAUCUAUUCUUCUGUUCUUUAGUGAUGUGGUCAGAUGAAAAAUGCGGGCCUUGAUUCCCGGUUUUAUCUGUUAUAAUUUAUGGAUUGCGUGGGAUAAUGGAUCAACAGUUCAAGCA